rnacentral:rRNA from 1 species
UGGGGAAUCUUGCGCAAUGGUCGAAAGACUGACGCAGCGACGCCGCGUGUGGGAGGACGCCUUUCGGGGUGUAAACCACUGUUGCCCGGGACGAACACCUCUUUUCGAAGAGGCUGACGGUACCGGGUGAGGAAGCACCGGCUACCUCCGUGCCAGCAGCCGCGGUAAUACGGAGGGUGCGAGCGUUGUCCGGAAUCAUUGGGCGUAAAGGGCGCGUAGGUGGCCCGGUCAGUCCGUGGUGAAAGCGCGGGGCUCAACCCUGCGUCGGCCAUGGAUACUGCCGCGGCUGGAGCACUGUAGAGGCAGGCGGAAUUCCGGGUGUAGCGGUGGAAUGCGUAGAGAUCCGGAAGAACACCGGUGGCGAAGGCGGCCUGCUGGGCAGUAGCCGAAAGGCUUUCAAGCUGACACUGAGGCGCGACAGCGUGGGGAGCAAAC